rnacentral:rRNA from 1 species
UACGUAGGGGGCAAGCGUUAUCCGGAAUUAUUGGGCGUAAAGAGUACGUAGGUGGCAACCUAAGCGCAGGGUUUAAGGCAAUGGCUCAACCAUUGUUCGCCCUGCGAACUGGGAUGCUUGAGUGCAGGAGAGGAAAGCGGAAUUCCUAGUGUAGCGGUGAAAUGCGUAGAUAUUAGGAGGAACACCAGUGGCGAAGGCGUCUUGCUGGACGAUGACUGACGUUGAGGCUCGAAAGCGUGGGGAGCAAACAGG